rnacentral:rRNA from 1 species
UAUACAGGGGGAUAACAGUCAGAAAUGGCUGCUAAUACCGCAUAAGCGCACAGAGCUGCAUGGCUCAGUGUGAAAAACUCCGGUGGUAUAAGAUGGACCCGCGUUGGAUUAGCUGGUUGGUGGGGUAACGGCCCACCAAGGCGACGAUCCAUAGCCGGCCUGAGAGGGUGAACGGCCACAUUGGGACUGAGACACGGCCCAGACUCCUACGGGAGGCAGCAGUGGGGAAUAUUGCACAAUGGGGGAAACCCUGAUGCAGCGACGCCGCGUGAAGGAAGAAGUAUCUCGGUAUGUAAACUUCUAUCAGCAGGGAAGAUAGUGACGGUACCUGACUAAGAAGCCCCGGCUAACUACGUGCCAGCAGCCGCGGUAAUACGUAGGGGGCAAGCGUUAUCCGGAUUUACUGGGUGUAAAGGGAGCGUA